UACGUAGGGCGCGAGCGUUGUCCGGAUUUAUUGGGCGUAAAGAGCUCGUAGGCGGCUUGUCGCGUCGAAUGUGAAAUCUCAGGGCUCAACUCUGACAUUGCAUUCGAUACGGGCAGGCUAGAGUUCGGUAGGGGAGACUGGAAUUCCUGGUAUAGCGGUGAAAUGCGCAGAUAUCAGGAGGAACACCGGUGGCGAAGGCGGGUCUCUGGGCCGUAACUGACGCUGAGGAGCGAAAGCGUGGGGAGCGAACAGG
rnacentral:rRNA from 1 species